rnacentral:ncRNA from 2 species
GCAGAACUGGCGAUGCGGG